rnacentral:piRNA from 1 species
UUGUAUUAGAUGGACAGGAAGGAUU